AUGCCUGCUCCAACGUCUCCAUCCUCUUCGGCUGCCUCGGCAUCGCCUUCAAAUUUGUCGAGAUGGAAUAGGUCGCCAAGGCAAGCGGCCGCUCCUCAGCCCCCCUCUCCUUCCCCGCUACCUGCUCUGCUGUUCGGUAUGCUACUUUGCUGUGCUUGUACUGUAUGUGGUAAAAUUUCUGGUGAUUCCUUCCCGGGAUAUUGA
rnacentral:rRNA from 1 species